rnacentral:rRNA from 1 species
UACGAAGGGGGCUAGCGUUGCUCGGAAUCACUGGGCGUAAAGCGCACGUAGGCGGCUUUCUAAGUCAGGGGUGAAAUCCUGGAGCUCAACUCCAGAACUGCCUUUGAUACUGGAGAGCUUGAGUCCGGAAGAGGUGAGUGGAACUCCGAGUGUAGAGGUGAAAUUCGUAGAUAUUCGCAAGAACACCAGUGGCGAAGGCGGCUCACUGGCCCGGUACUGACGCUGAGGUGCGAAAGCGUGGGGAGCGAACAGG